rnacentral:rRNA from 1 species
AUUGAACGCUGGCGGAAUGCUUUACACAUGCAAGUCGAACGGCAGCACGGACUUCGGUCUGGUGGCGAGUGGCGAACGGGUGAGUAAUGUAUCGGAACGUGCCCAGUCGUGGGGGAUAACGUAGUGAAAAUUACGCUAAUACCGCAUACGAUCUAUGGAUGAAAGCGGGGGAUCGCAAGACCUCGCGCGAUUGGAGCGGCCGAUAUCAGAUUAGGUAGUUGGUGGGGUAAAGGCCCACCAAGCCAACGAUCUGUAGCUGGUCUGAGAGGACGACCAGCCACAAUGGAACUGAGACACGGUCAAGACUCCUACGGGAGGCAGCAGUGGGGAAUUUUGGACAAUGGGCGAAAGCCUGAUCCAGCCAUUCCGCGUGCAGGAUGAAGGCCCUCGGGUUGUAAACUGCUUUUGUACAGAACGAAAAGGUUUCUACUAAUACUAGGAGCUCAUGACGGUACUGUAAGAAUAAGCACCGGCUAACUACGUGCCAGCCGCCGCGGUAA